rnacentral:rRNA from 1 species
CCACUAAGCCAGUGGUGAACUCCACAUACGCAUCCUUUGCUGAGGAUACGGUUAACGGAGCGAAAGCGACGUUCAACCUCAAAAGAAGCAGAGGGGGCUUAGUGGUGGGGUGACUGCGUACCUUUUGUAUAAUGGGUCAGCGACUUAUAUUCUGUAGCAAGGUUAACCGAAUAGGGGAGCCGGAGGGAAACCGAGUCUUAACCGGGCGUUAAGUUGCAGGGUAUAGACCCGAAACCCGGUGAUCUAGCCAUGGGCAGGUUGAAGGUUGGGUAACACUAACUGGAGGACCGAACCGACUAAUGUUGAAAAAUUAGCGGAUGACCUGUGGCUGGGGGUGAAAGGCCAAUCAAACCGGGAGAUAGCUGGUUCUCCCCGAAAGCUAUUUAGGUAGCGCCUCGUGAAUUCAUCUCCGGGGGUAGAGCACUGUUUCGGCUAGGGGGCCAUCCCGGCUUACCAACCCGAUGCAAACUGCGAAUACCGGAGAAUGUUAUCACGGGAGACACACGGCGGGUGCUAACGUCCGUCGUGAAGAGGGAAACAACCCAGACCGCCAGCUAAGGUCCCAAAGUCAUGGUUAAGUGGGAAACGAUGUGGGAAGGCCCAGACAGCCAGGAUGUUGGCUUAGAAGCAGCCAUCAUUUAAAGAAAGCGUAAUAGCUCACUGGUCGAGUCGGCCUGCGCGGAAGAUGUAACGGGGCUAAACCAUGCACCGAAGCUGCGGCAGCGACGCUGAUGCGUUGUUGGGUAGGGGAGCGUUCUGUAAGCCUGCGAAGGUGGCCUGUGAGGGUUGCUGGAGGUAUCAGAAGUGCGAAUGCUGACAUAAGUAACGAUAAAGCGGGUGAAAAGCCCGCUCGCCGGAAGACCAAGGGUUCCUGUCCAACGUUAAUCGGGGCAGGGUGAGUCGACCCCUAAGGCGAGGCCGAAAGGCGUAGUCGAUGGGAAACGGGUUAAUAUUCCCGUACUUGGUGUUACUGCGAAGGGGGGACGGAGAAGGCUAUGUUGGCCGGGCGACGGUUGUCCCGGUUUAAGCGUGUAGGUG